rfam:Pantoea wallisii strain LMG 26277 Contig0077_, whole genome shotgun sequence.
ACUGCUUUUCUUUGAAAUCCCCAAAUUGAGGAGCCCGUUAGCCAUCUGCUAGCGGGUUUUUUUAU